GUGGGGAAUAUUGGACAAUGGGCGCAAGCCUGAUCCAGCCAUGCCGCGUGAGUGAUGAAGGCCUUAGGGUUGUAAAGCUCUUUCGUCAGGGAAGAUAAUGACGGUACCUGAAGAAGAAGCCCCGGCUAACUUCGUGCCAGCAGCCGCGGUAAUACGAAGGGGGCUAGCGUUGCUCGGAAUCACUGGGCGUAAAGCGCACGUAGGCGGCUUUCUAAGUCAGGGGUGAAAUCCUGGAGCUCAACUCCAGAACGGCCUUUGAUACUGGAGAGCUUGAGUUCGGGAGAGGUGAGUGGAACUGCGAGUGUAGAGGUGAAAUUCGUAGAUAUUCGCAAGAACACCAGUGGCGAAGGCGGCUCACUGGCCCGAUACUGACGCUGAGGUGCGAAAGCGUGGGGAGCAAACAGGAUUAGAUACCCGAGUAGUCC
rnacentral:rRNA from 1 species